ACACACACACACACAGGCGAGGUGUCAGAGUCCGCUGCUCAUAAACUCAUAUAAAGCCGCUGUGAUGAUGUCACCAGGUGAGUCUGUGAUCCCGGCUGUUUGUCCUGAAGCCGUCUCACCCGUCUGUCUCACCUGUCUUACCUGUCUCACCUGUCUCACCUCACCUGGCUGCAGCAGAGCGAGUUUCCCGUCAGAGUUCAGCGGAGCCGCUCAGCAGGAACAACAUGGAGUCCAGAGAGGAAGAACAAGAGGAAGACGCUCCCAGGUCACAUCUGGAAGAUAAAGAUACUGACAACAUCACUAGUACUACUACUGAUACAACUACUAGUACUACUAGUACUACUACUGAUACUACUGAUCCUACUACGGACACUAC